UUAUAGACCGGAACUUAGUCGAAAUCUGUUUCCUAUUCCCUGUUCUUGUUGCCUGUGUUUUUCAUUAUGCAUCCAACUUAAGACUAUCGCACAUAAAAUAACAUAGGCUGCAUUCGGCAGAAAAAGCAGCUUUGCAACUAUGUUAGCUGCCAUGUAACUAAACCGAAAAGUGUUUCGAAACCACCAUAACCUGCAAAAGUGUCAAAGAUGUUUCAUUUGGAGUAAACCUUCAAGAACCGGGGAUGUCUCACUUACUAAAAAAAA